rnacentral:lncRNA from 10 species
UUUGCAUCUUGUAUGUGGUUGGGAAUACAUUCUCAAAUCUAUUUGUGGGCCCAAUAAGCCAUGUGACCAUGGCAAGUUUCCUCAUGGCUCUGUAUGUCAAUGUACUCAUCUGUGAGCUAGAGGCAGGGGUACCAGAUGGUCUUUCAACUCCCUUUGACUCUACACAUACAUUUCCAUCUACAAACUAAGUCUGAAUUCCUUUAGAAAAGGUGUCAAGAGAUUUGUGCCUGGCCAAGACCUUGGAGGAUGAUGGUGUUGCACUUCGUCUAGUUAUUCAGGCUCAACUCAGAGAAGGAGAAGCUGCAAGAAAGCUCUGCUUUCCCCUGCAUCUUGGGGCAGCCCUGUUUGCCUCACAGACAGAGAAGAACCGAGCCCUAUAUGAUAUUUUCACCUAAUACGAAGCUGAACUUUGCAAGCACCUCCAUCCAGAGCAUGCACUGUGUGGUCUCCUUCUCCUCUGUGACUCGGCACUGUCCUCUGCACAGAUCAAGCACCAGACAAUACCAUCACCUUCCUGGUCUGAUAAAUGGACCCAGUCCUGGACUUAAGAAAAGUCGUAAGAUUCAGAGUUGCUUCUGCCACUGGGCAACUUCUUCGCAUGACCACCUGUAUUAGUUUCCAGUGGCUUCUGUAAUAAAUUACCAUAAACUUAGUGGCUUUAAACAAAAUCAGUGUGAUUUUCUCCCAGUUCUGGAGGCCAGAAGUCCAGAAUCCAGGUGUGAGCACGGCCACAUUCCCUCCAGAGGCUCUCGGGGAGAAUCCUGCCUUGUCUCUUCCAGCUUCUGGUGACUCCAGCAUUCCUUGGAGGUUUUGCCUCCAUCUUCACAUCGCUGGCUCCUUCUUUGCGUCUGUCUAAUCUCCCCCCGCCUUACUCUUCAAAGGCUACCAGUGAUGGCUUUUAGACCCUUUCCCCAAAUAAGAUACCAUUCACAGCUUUCAGGGAUUAAGAGGUGGUCGUGUCUGUGUGGAUCCCAUUCAGCCCACGCCACCUUCUUGGGACCUGGAAGAAAAGAAAAGUUUUGUGUUUUCUCCUCCUCCAGGAGCACCUCUUUAGAUCUGGGUCUUUCCCCUUCAUUCUGUAGCUUCUUUCCUUCAGUAUCUUCCGGGCAGUGCCCCUGCAAAUAUUAGAAACUGAGGCACACACUAAAAAGGUGGUUAUUUACCAACGCAGGUGUGUUGUCCUCUUUAGUUGGGCAAAGUUAAUGAACUCAGUACUGCAUUGUUUCCAAUUCAGGCCAGACAACACUUCCAGAAGCUCCCUGAUCUUGUGUCAGAAAUUCCUACAUGGUCCUCAUCUCGGAGAAACUACCCAAAUUAAUCUUUCUUCUUUCUGGCACUCUGCUCUGGACAAAAAUACGAGAGAAGCAUCUCCAACUAACUUAUUUCCCUCUGGCUUCUUCAUUCUAG